CCCGAAUCCUGCGCUCAACUGUUCCGCAGGAGAAACCGAUCCAGGUGUGACACCGUUACCUGUUACACCGUAAGUGGGAGGAGCCACACCUUCACAACCAGGAAGUAGCAAACAGGGAACUGGGAAAAAACAGGUGAUGUUUUCUCAGUCCUCACCUGUGCUGUCUUUCUUUUUUCCCCUUUUCUAAAUAGUGUCCUUUUUUUGUAAAUACUUUUCCCAAAAAAACUUUUUGUAAUAUUAAUAUUAACAAUUACUGAAAUGUUAUUCAACAGAUGAGUUCUAAUUUUGUUAUAAGACGCAGAGCCAGAAGGUGGCGCUAUAUGUCUUUCUAAUUACAGUUUAAGUUUUUGUUUUUUUUUGUUUUUUUUUAAAGCACCAGCACAACAGGACAGAUUCCUUGUACAUACAAACCCUGAUACUUGGCAAUAAAGUUGAUUAUAAUUCUAAUUAACUUACAAUUUACAUAAUAAUAAUAAUAAUAAUAAUAAUAAUAAUAAUAAUAA